AAAAAAAACGAAAAAAAGGACAAUGAAGAAGGAAGCGAUAUAACUAAAACACGACUGCAACGGGACAUCACUCUGAUAAUAUUUACUUUUUACCCCAGCCAGCACUCCUGCACAGCAACUCCAGCAAAAAGAACCUUUUUGUGUGUACUGUGUACAAGUACAAGUCUAGUGCACUAACAUAUAUACAUAAUGUACAUAGUGAAGGCCUGCAAAAUUCUAUCUAAUCCAGAGUAGUACCCAGUAGGGCUGGAUCCAAGCAGAUCGGGUCAGAUACUUUGUCUUCAAAACCACUCAUACUCCAAGCCCAACCACCACUGCCACUGUGCAGUUGUUCGCUCAGACCCAGUGUAAGAAAGGCCACCUUUAUUUGAUUGAGGACUAAUAACUGUGUGACUUGACCAAACGGCUGUGUUGACAGACCAUGACGAGUGGCCAGUACAUUGUGAUUGGAGGUGGCAUCGCUGGAGUGUCUUGUGUUGAAGCGCUAUCUUACUUGGACAAGGAUGCCAAAAUUACUCUGAUUUCUGCCUCUCCACUCAUCAAAACUGUUACAAAUUAUGUACAGCUCACACAAGUUGCUGAGACAUUUGAUGUGGAGGAAAAGCCGUUAUCUCAUGCCGAAGAAAACAGGGACAAUGUGACAGUUAUGCAGGCUGUUGUGGAGUCGUUAAACACUCAGGAUAAAACUCUAGUCACGUCAGAUGGUCAAACGGUCAGCUAUGACAAACUGUGUGUUUGUACUGGAGGAAAACCUAAGGUGAUAGCAUCAGAUAGUCCUGUAGUGGUGGGCAUUCGUGACACAGAGAGUGUAAAGGAUUUCCAGGUUAAGAUGAAGACCGCAAGAAGAAUUGUGAUCAUUGGAAAUGGUGGAAUAGCUACGGAGCUCGUGUAUGAGCUAGAGGGUUGUGAGGUCAUCUGGGCCAUCAAAGACAAAUCCAUCGCUCACACUUUUGUGGAUGCCGGGGCUGGAGAAUUCUUUAUGGAGCAUCUGAACAAAGAGAAGGACAAAAGUCCGGACGGGCCAUCCAAACGACUCAAGUACACCACCCAGGAAAGCCAAAUCUCCAAUGCAGGAGUGAUGGGUGGGGCUUUAGGACCGGACUGGGCUACUAAUGUGGACAUGCAUGGGUCACAAAAUAUCUCACACCGAGUCCACGUGGAGCACCAGGUGGAGGUGAGGCAGAUUUUGUCGCAGGAUGACCUUGACCGGCUUCAGGCCAGUGGAGAGAAACAGUCACUGUCUCCAGAGGGCUGGACAGAUCACCCUUCUUGGCCGGCCUACGUAGAACUGACCAACGGGAAAAUCUACGGCUGUGACUUGGUGGUCAGUGCCACAGGUGUGGUCCCCUUCACCGAUACCGUGUUGCCGGGCAACCACUUUGAGCUGGCUUCAGACGGUGGUCUCCGGGUCAACGACAAGAUGGAGACGUCACAGCCACAUGUGUUUGCUGCCGGGGAUGUUUGCACUGCAUGCUGGGAGCAUUCCCCUCAUUGGCUACAGAUGCGACUGUGGACCCAAGCACGUCAGAUGGGUUGUUAUGCGGCAAAGUGCAUGGUGGCAUCUCACUCAGGAGAGGAUGUUGUCAUGGAUUUCUGCUUCGAACUUUUCGCUCAUGUCACGACGUUUUUCCGAUUUAAGGUUGUUUUGUUAGGCAAGUUCAACGCUCAGGGACUUGGUGAUGACUUUGAAAUUUUGCUUCGAGUGUCCAAAGGUGAGGAAUAUGUCAAAGCCAUUCUUCAAAAUGGACGAUUGAUGGGAGCUAUCUUGAUAGGAGAAACAGACCUGGAGGAGACAUUUGAGAACUUGAUUCUGAAUGCGAUUGACUUGACGCCUUUCAAAGACAACUUAUUAGAGCCUGGUAUUGAUAUCGAGGACUUUUUUGACUGAGUUCUGAGAGAGAACUCUAUUGAUUCGCCUGUGAUAUUGUGUGCCUUCAGGUUCAUUUCUUCUCUGCUUUGUCACCAUUGUUUAGAAUUUCCCUUUGACUUUUUCCCCACUGUGAGCUGUAUUUUGGGGCAUGACUUGAUGACUUUCAAAAAUCUCGUCCUCUGCAGACUUUUAUAACAGACACAAACCACUGUUUUAUCUUCAGAGAACUAUUUUAUUUCUUUGAAAUGUCUGAUAAAAGCCCUCAUACCAACUGAUCCUCAGGAUGAACAAAUUAUAGGCCUACCCAUGCAAGACCGCGAACAGAUACAGAAUACUCCGGUGGUUCACUGCGAGCCCCCACCUGUGCCUCUACAACAACAGCCGUUAACUCCUCGAGUUGUGUUUACCUCAUGUCAGAUCCCGACGCGGAAGUCUCGCCAGCCUCUUUCUGUGGGUCCCCUCGGGUUGCCAAGUUGUCUGUUUGACGUUAGGUGCCAAAGUACACAUAAUACUACACAGAGUUUUAUGACAGAGACAAACCACUGUUUUAUCUUUAGAGAACUAUUUUAUUUCUUUGAAAUGUCUGAUAAAAAAAUGAUAAUAAUUUCCCUGUAUUUUGAUGUGUAACACUUGAGUUUCUUUGUAAAAUGUUGAAGUGGAUGAUUGGUGGGUGCUCUUGUGUGGUUUACUGCUUCUCUCCUUUCAAACGUCUAUUGUUGAUAUCUCUCCUUUUUCUUUGCUUUGAAUGUUACUCUGUAGUAACUCCUCUUAUCUUCAGCACUUUUAUCAUCUAUGUGUUGCAAGUGCGGUAAAACUCUCUCUAAAACUAAACAGGAAAAUUACGAGAAAUUAUCUUUUUUCUGGUUGCCAUCAGAAUAGAUAAAAUGGUCGCCAAAGGGGCUUGGUUACAAAGAGGAAAAUGGUUUGGUUGGGAAACAGUUAAUGUGGGACAAAUGACAGAACAAUUGUGUUCAUGCUACUGUUAUCACAAUUACCAUUAAAUAAGCAAUUUAUGAA
rnacentral:misc_RNA from 1 species